GAAAAUUACAAGCAUAAGCUCAAAACUCAAAGGACUUGGCGGCGCUUUAGAUCCCCCUAGAGGAGCCUGUCCUAUAACCGAUAAUCCUCGUUAAACCUUACCUUCUUUUAACUAAAGUUUAUGUACCGCCGUCGUCAGCUCACCCCACAAAGGCCCCAAAGUUAGCAAAAUCGGUUUAGCCCCAAACGUCAGGUCGAGGUGUAACACAUAAGAAGUGAAGAGAUUGGCUACAUUUCCUACCUAAGGUGAAACAGAAAAUGCUUUGAAACAAGUCUUUUGAAGCUGGAUUUAGUAGUAAGUAAAAAAUAGAGUGUUUU
rnacentral:rRNA from 1 species